rnacentral:misc_RNA from 1 species
AAACCACCUUCGAUUUCUUCGUUCCGAGACCUAAUGUAAGUGUAUGCCAAGCAUGAUGAGCUAAGAUUGUGAAAUUUGUGGGUAAAUAAGCUGUAGUUGAAGUGAAAUUGAAACUAGAACUGGAGUUUUUGGUUGACGGCGGAGAAAGGGAGAGGAUACGGAGGAGUUCUAACGGCCGUGCACGGCGGAUUGUGAAGGAUUUAACGAUGAAUUGACCGCCGAAUCGAAGACCUUUAACAUCGGAAAUGGGUUUAAAAGUGAAAUCUGAAGUGGGUUUUGGAGAUUCAUCAUUUGGGUGUUUGUGU